rnacentral:rRNA from 1 species
GUGCCAGCCGCCGCGGUAAUACAUAGGGGUCAAGCGUUGUCCGGAUUUAUUGGGCGUAAAGAGCUCGUAGGCGGUUCAACAAGUCGGUCGUAAAAGUUUAGGGCUCAACCCUAAAAUGUCGAUCGAUACUGUUGUGACUAGGAUACGGUAGAGGUGUAUGGAAUUCCGGGUGUAGCGGUGAAAUGCGUAGAUAUCCGGAGGAACACCAGUGGCGAAGGCGGCAUCCUGGGUCAAGACUGACGCUGAGGCGCGAAGGCGUGGGUAGCAAACAGGAUUAGAUA